GAGGCCACAGGCAAAUUCACCAGUCUAGCCACGAUUGCAACAUACCACAUCUGUGAUUUCACCUUCUCUUGCAAGUUUCCUUUGAGAGGUGCCAUCAAUGAGAAGGCCACACAUCCUGGGUACUAUGAAGACCUAGUGGAGAAGUCCAUGGGGAAGUAUAAUCUCGCCACGGAGGAGAUUGAGAGGGAUUUACACCGCUCCCUUCCAGAACACCCAGCUUUUCAGAAUGAAAUGGGCAUUGCUGCACUAAGGAGAGUCUUAACAGCUUAUGCUUUUCGAAAUCCCAACAUAGGGUAUUGCCAGGCCAUGAAUAUUGUCACUUCAGUGCUGCUGCUUUAUGCCAAAGAGGAGGAAGCUUUCUGGCUGCUUGUGGCUUUGUGUGAGCGCAUGCUCCCAGAUUACUACAACACCAGAGUUGUGGGUAAGUGGAGAUGCAUUUAACAUUUCAACCUAUGUCUCGUCAAGAAGAUGCUUUUAGAGAGGUGCCAGCCAGAACACUAUUUCUGGUCACCAUAAGCCAAAAGAGUUUCAGACUACUCCAGUUUUUCAAAAUGGAAAUGAGAGAGGUUGAAUAAAUAUAGGUUGUAUACAA
rnacentral:lncRNA from 1 species